rnacentral:rRNA from 1 species
GACGAACGCUGGCGGCGUGCUUAACACAUGCAAGUCGAACGGAAAGGCCCUGCUUUUGUGGGGUGCUCGAGUGGCGAACGGGUGAGUAACACGUGAGUAACCUGCCCUUGACUUUGGGAUAACUUCAGGAAACUGGGGCUAAUACCGGAUAGGAGCUCCUGCUGCAUGGUGGGGGUUGGAAAGUUUCGGCGGUUGGGGAUGGACUCGCGGCUUAUCAGCUUGUUGGUGGGGUAGUGGCUUACCAAGGCUUUGACGGGUAGCCGGCCUGAGAGGGUGACCGGCCACAUUGGGACUGAGGUACGGCCCAGACUCCUACGGGAGGCAGCAGUGGGGAAUAUUGCCCGAUGGGCGGAAGCCUGAUGCAGCAACGCCGCGUGCGGGAUGACGGCCUUCGGGUUGUAAACCGCUUUCGCCUGUGACGAAGCGUGAGUGACGGUAAUGGAUAAAGAAGCACCGGCUAACUACGUG